UGGAGGACUGGAAUGUCCAGAGGGCAGUGGGAGAGGGAUGACUUGAGAACACCAGAGUGCCAGGCUCUAGGCCCAGGAAAACUCCAUGGUUGUCCUUUGCGGCGACACACCGACCUUCAGAGGUGUAGGAUUUCCUCUGGGUUUCUCAGCAGUCCCAAAAGACAAGAAAGAAGAAACUACUGAACUGAUAUAAAUCCCAGACUUUUCCAGGUGAAUGACUGUGGCUAGGUCAUUCCUGUGAUUCAUCCCUGUAAAUUCUUGUGGUCCUCUACUGGGGUAACUGAAGGUCAUCCAAGCAAACUCUCAAUCAGGUUUGUUCCUGGUAACAGGAAGAUACAUGAAGAUACAUGCCUCUGGAUACAUGUUCCCAAAGCAGACAGAAUCUUGCACUUAAUUGCAAAGAGCCAAACUUAUCACUUAAUAUGGAGAAAGGCCAACCUACAGAGCUUCCCCUUUUCAAGGCCAGAGCAAUUCCUAGUGCCAGCAAAUGUCAUAGUUAUGGAUCAGAAACAAGCCUUUGAAAGAAAAUGCCUACAAAGCAAAAUCUGUGCCAAUUUGGGGGAGAGGAUUUAUUUCACCCUCUUAGCAUCUCUGUCUUGUCAUAAAUGUCAAGGGUAAUACAGCUGAAUAUAUUGCUUUCUCCUCCAAAAAAAUAAAGUGGGGGGCA